rnacentral:rRNA from 1 species
GCUUACAGGCUCUCCAACUCAAUAUCCACACUUCCAACAAUGAGCGUCCAACAUGUCAUUGACCUUGUGAAAGCCAUCUUUCAUUACAAGGUGAAAUACGGCAAGGCAUGGAAGGCGAAGCAAGCCGCAUUUAAGAUGUUGUAUGGUACAUGGGAGGAAGCAUACAACCGAAUCCCUAGGUUGUUGUUAGCCAUGGCCGCGACAAACCCGGGCAUGGUUCAUGUGGUCGAGCCUCAUGGGCACCAAACAACGGUUCAUGAAGGAAGGAAAGUCAGAGUAUUUGGCCGUGCUUUUUGGGCGUUCGAGCAAUGUGUGAGGGCUUUCGAACAUUGUAGGCCGGUCAUCGCAAUUGAUGGCACGUUCUUGACCGGACAAUACAAGGGCACCUUGUUGGUUGCGAUAGCAAGUGAUGCCAAUAACCGGGUGUUGCCAUUGGCAUUUGCUUUGGUUGAGGUGGAAAACAAUGACAACUGGGAGUGGUUUCUGCAUCUUUUGAGGACACCUUGUUGGUUGCGA